GGGGGGCGCUAUUCCUUUCAAAAUAUAUGAAAUUACAGCAGCUGUCCCAUAGUUUCUGGCAAAGAUUGUCUUGGUGGUGACCAAUUGUGUUUGGAAUUUGGUAAUUAAACGUUUUAGUUUUAAGUUUAUACCGCCCAAUUCCAUAUAUUCCAGUAUCGAAGCAUAUGUGGGCAAGUUUUGGUAGUUUUAGAUACUAUCCAUUCAUUCCGGGGGGGGGGGGUUGUGUUAUUUUUAACACUUUACAUACCAAUACAGGUACGUGUGCUACUAGCUAUAAUGCUUAAUAAGCACAUUCAUAUUCACGUCUAAUAUCAUCAUAGCUCUCUUCCUUGUGAAAAAUCCGCGGAAAUUUACUCAAAAGUUACUUGCUGUCAUUGGAAUGAUGCAAAAGACCAUAAUUACGACGAACCUGGAAC